GCUCCUGGUGGCUGAAGGGUGCGUGCAGCUCGGCGAUCUGGACACCGUCGGUGCCGCCGACGGCGGCGGCCGCCCGUUCGGCGGACCCGGAGGUG
rnacentral:tRNA from 1 species